GAUGAUGAUAAAAAAGAAUCUCAGAUAGAGGAAGAAAGAAGACUUAUGUAUGUAGCGGUUACAAGAGCGAAGAAUAAUGUUUGUAUAAGUUCUCCUAAA
rnacentral:sRNA from 1 species